rnacentral:rRNA from 1 species
GACGGAAGGUGCAAGCGUUGCUCGGAAUCACUGGGCGUAAAGGGCGCGUAGGCGGCCGUGCAAGUCUGGCGUGAAAGCCCCGGGCUCAGCCCGGGAAGUGCGCUCGAAACUGCGCGGCUCGAGUGCCGGAGGGGAGAGUAGAAUUCCUGGUGUAGCGGUGAAAUGCGUAGAUAUCAGGAGGAAUACCGGUGGCGAAAGCGACUCUCUGGACGGCAACUGACGCUGAGGCACGAAAGCGUGGGGAGCAAACAGG